GAUGUACUCCCUUCGUCCGGAAAUACUUGUCAUUGAAAUGGAUGUAUCUAGAUGUAUUUUAGUUAUAGACACAUCCAUUUUGAUGACAAGUAAUUCCGGACGGAGGGAGUACAUA
rnacentral:pre_miRNA from 1 species